UCUCCGGGGCCCCCCGCCGCCGGGCCCGUCCCCGAGAAAGUUUGGGAACGCGAACUGUACAGGCCCGAACGGCCCCGUGAGCCCCCGUGGUGGACUUUCCAGCGUUAAUUGGGAAUUAUGUGUCAAAAAGGUCGACCCGCGUUGGUGAAACAUGUGAUUUUCAUUAAGUAUCGUGUACAAAGGAACACAGCUCUACCAUUUAUGGAUACGGAAUUUCAAUAACAACUGAAAGAAAGCGAACCGGGGCCGGUGCGUGGUGGGCGUCAUUUUGGACCUGAAAUCGAUCUGACUUAGGGACUGGUCAUCCCCUAGGACCCUAUGGACCCCGGAUUCUGGGUCAUACCCAGAAAUCCUGCUGGUAUUUCUCGGCCAUUUUCACCUAGGACCUAAAACAGGAAUAGAAAUGUAAAGCUCUUCUUAGAGCAAGGAGGAUUUCUGCUCCUGAGCCAUGAAGUUGUAAUGUUCGUCUUUUAAAAGGAAGGAGAAAUAAACGAAGGCCUCAUA